rnacentral:rRNA from 1 species
UACAGAGGUCCCAAGCGUUGUUCGGAAUCACUGGGCGUAAAGGGCGCGUAGGCGGGAUGGCAAGUCAGUCGUGAAAUCUCUCGGCUCAACCGAGAAACGUCGGCUGAUACUGCCGUUCUUGAGGGAUGCAGAGGAGACUGGAAUUCCCGGUGUAGCGGUGAAAUGUGUAGAGAUCGGGAGGAACACCGGUGGCGAAGGCGGGUCUCUGGGCAUCUCCUGACGCUGAGGCGCGAAAGCGUGGGGAGCAAACGGG